ensembl:snRNA U6 U6 spliceosomal RNA
GUGCUCACUUUGGCAGCACUAAAAUUGGAACUAUACAGAGAUUAGCAUGGCCCCUGUGCAAAGAUGACAUGCAAAUUUGUGAAGAGUUCCAUAUUUAA